GCUUAGAGUUAGGGUAGAAGGCUGGUUAAACCGUUUGGUUUACGACCACUACGACCCGGGUUCGAUCCCCGCAUUGGACA